UACGUAGGGGGCAAGCGUUGUCCGGAUUUAUUGGGCGUAAAGAGCGUGUAGGCGGCCGUACAGGUCAGCUGUGAAACUCGAGGCUCAACCUCGAGACGUCGGUUGAAACCGUACGGCUAGAGUCCGGAAGAGGAGAGUGGAAUUCCCGGUGUAGCGGUGAAAUGCGCAGAUAUCGGGGAAGAACACCCGUGGCGAAGGCGGGUCUCUGGGCCGAUACUGACGCUGAGGAGCGAAAGCGUGGGGAGCGAACAGG
rnacentral:rRNA from 1 species